GUUCAAGUUCAAAAUAAAUCCAAACAAUUAGCAAAAACAAUGCUUAAACUCUUUCAUGCUGAAUAACUAAAAGAAUUUCAAACAAUAGUAAGAAAGGUAGUUAGUUGUUAUAGGCAGUUAGACUAAGUAAUUAAACCAUCAGUAGAUCGCUGUAGAUGUUAAAGAAACCUGAAAAUGAUGUUGUCCAUAACAUACUAGUUGAUAAUGAUUUAAGGAAGAAAUCCAGAAAUUGAAUUAAUUGCGGGAUGUAAUCCAUAAAAGACUAGCUGAUCUACUUAAGCUAGCAGAUUGUAU
rnacentral:misc_RNA from 1 species